CAGAGUGGCCAAGAGCCAGGCAGAAUUCUGGACCUACCUAGUGAGUGGUCAAGGCUGGGGAGGACUGUCCGAGAGCAGAGGUGAAGGUUGUCAAGGCCAAGGAGGUUCAGGAUUGAAAGUCACAGGAUUGGGUCCUCCUAUGAGUCUGCUGGACCACAAACUCAGCCCAAGCCCAGAGCUGACAUUCUGGAUGCAUGCUGGAGGUGUCUGGGAGGCCUGGCUGUCACAGAACCAGUGAUAGAGCUGCUGUGACAGCCAGGGGCUUUACAAAAAACACUGUGGGCCAGCUGGGUUUGAGAAGGCUAAGCUGCCCCCACUUGGGUGGAAGGCAAAGAAAAGUGUCCUGUGGGCACAUUCCAGCGCGGAUGGUGGCUGGAGGUCGCGAGAAGCUGAAGGGGAGGCAAAGCUUCCUUUCAGAGGUCCCCGGAAAGUGAAAAGCUGGAUCAGCAAGGGGGCGGCUGGGCCUUGAGCGGGGUGAUCCUGAGGUCACCAGUGGUUCCACCCUUACCGGCCAGGUGGCCUCUGCCAGAUCACUGUCCACCUGUCCCUCGGCACCAGCCUAAAGUCAGAUGUCUAAGCCAUGGGCUAGUGUGCCUCAUGGGCACAGGGGUGGCUGGUGAACAACCAGAGAAGGCUCUGAACAGACGGGGCAGGGGGCAGGACACGGGUGACAGGGCUGCCCUGCGGCUCUCUUCCCUAGUGACCUGGAUGAGGAGGAGCCCUCAGCAGAAAAUCAGGCUCACAAGCUCCUGCCUGAAGUCCAUCAGCCUGUGGGCACUCCCGUGCCAGCUGGGCCCCACUGACCACCUGAGAAAUUCUUUAUUCCCCAAAAGGCUCCAAAAGCUCAGGUCCUCUCCCGUCUCCCUCUCCUCCUGAUCCCUCC
rnacentral:lncRNA from 1 species